UACAGGGGGGGCAAGCGUUGUUCGGAAUUACUGGGCGUAAAGGGCUCGUAGGCGGCCAACUAAGUCAGACGUGAAAUCCCUCGGCUUAACCGGGGGAACUGCGUCUGAUACUGGAUGGCUCGAGUUUGGGAGAGGGAUGCGGAAUUCCAGGUGUAGCGGUGAAAUGCGUAGAUAUCUGGAGGAACACCGGUGGCGAAGGCGGCAUCCUGGACCAACACUGACGCUGAUGAGCGAAAGCCAGGGGAGCAAACGGG
rnacentral:rRNA from 1 species